rnacentral:rRNA from 1 species
CCUACGGGAGGCAGCAGUGAGGAAUAUUGGUCAAUGGCCGUAAGCCUGAACCAGCCAAGUCGCGUGAGGGAAGACUGCCCUAUGGGUUGUAAACCUCUUUUAUGCGGGGAUAAUGGUCUCUACGCGUAGAUGUUUGCAGGUACCGCAUGAAUAAGGAUCGGCUAAAUCCGUGCCAGCAGCCGCGGUAAUACGGAAGGUCCGGGCGUUAUCCGGAUUUAUUGGGUUUAAAGGGGGCGUAGGCCGGCAUUUAAGUGUGCCGGGAAAUUUUGGGGCUCAACCAUGAGAGUGCGUUGAAAACUGGAGAGCUUGAGAGCGCGGGAGGCAGGCGGAAUACGUGAAGUAGCGGUGAAAUGCAUAGAUAUAACGUAGAACCCCGAUUGCGAAGGCAGCCUGCCACAGCGUGACUGACGCUGAAGCACGAAAGCGUGGGUAGCGAACAGGAUUAGAUACCCCUGUAGUC